UACAGAGGUCCCAAGCGUUGUUCGGAUUCACUGGGCGUAAAGGGUGCGUAGGCGGCCGGGUAAGUCUGAUGUGAAAUCCCGCAGCUUAACUGCGGAACUGCAUCGGAUACUCUCCGGCUAGAGGAAUGGAGGGGAGACUGGAAUUCCUGGUGUAGCGGUGAAAUGCGCAGAUAUCAGGAGGAACACCGAUGGCGAAGGCAGGUCUCUGGGCAUUAACUGACGCUGAGGAGCGAAAGCAUGGGGAGCGAACAGG
rnacentral:rRNA from 1 species